rnacentral:rRNA from 1 species
CAGUAGCCACGGUAAAACGUAGGGCGCAAGCGUUAUCCGGAAUUAUUGGGCGUAAAGAGCUCGUAGGCGGUUUGUCGCGUCUGCCGUGAGAGUCCGGGGCUCAACCCCGGAUCUGCGGUGGGUACGGGCAGACUAGAGUGAUGUAGGGGAGACUGGAAUUCCUGGUGUAGCGGUGAAAUGCGCAGAUAUCAGGAGGAACACCGAUGGCGAAGGCAGGUCUCUGGGCAUUAACUGACGCUGAGGAGCGAAAGCAUGGGGAGCGAACAGGAUUAGAUACCCCGGUAGUCCCUGUCUCUUAUAC